UUUGCUCCCUGCCAGUUACCUUCUGUGUGACGUCCACCCUCCAGAGGGCUUCAGCCUCCAUAGGGGCAUCUGUAUCCACAUCGCCUUCCUCCUGAAGACUCUGCUGAAAAUGGAGGAGUUGGUGCUGGUGCUACCCCCUUGGGGCCGCCUCUACCAUUGUCAGAGCCUGGACAUCCACCAGGUCUGGAUUCCCUGGUCUGACUUUUUUGAUCUCUCAAGUCUCAACAGAAACAUCCCUGACACUGAGUACGAACAGUUCAUUGCAGGGUUCACCUGGUGAUAAUAAUAGUAACCAAAGCAACAGCAAACCCUUACAGAACUCUGUCCUGCUGUUCCAGGAACUCUGUGUUCACGACAACCCAAUGAGGUGGCACUUUACAGGAAGGACAGUCAUUAAUCACACAGCUAGUAAAUGGCAGAGCUGGGACUUGAACCCAAGCUGUCUGGCCCCAGAGCCCCCUCUCAGGCCCUUCACUGCAGCUCAUCACUUGGCAUGCCCGACACAGGCCAGCAUUAAGGAGCAGCGUGACCUUGGCCAAGGCUGCUUCACUGCUUGGUCUCUGUUUCCUCAUCUGUAGAAUGGGGAUGUGGGCAGUGAACUCUGUGAGCUCAGUGGUAACUUCCUCCAGCUCUGCUAUUCUACUGCUUUGAGUUAAUUUAGUAAGUAUCAGAGCCUCUGAAUGGCCCACCCAUAGGCUGGUGCUUUGCUAGGCCUUGGGUUACGGAGAAAAGUAAGAUCAGCCUGCUUCCCCAAGGAGCCUGUGUCCCUCCACGGCAAACAGCUGUGAGACCCAGGCUCCCUCACGGGCGGUUGGGGGCUGGGCAGGAAAGUCUGAUAGAAGAUGGAGGCAGAACCCCUCUGGGAACAGUGGUGGCCACACAGCUCUCAGGAGCGGGAGUGUCUGUCCAGGCUGCUGAGAGGGGGGUCCUCAUGAGGCGAGUAGGCCCCCCAAACUAAGCCCUCAGGACAAAGAUUCAGCCAUCCCUGCAGUGUAACCAUAGAGCCAGUCCAUCCUCAUCACUGUGCCUCUGUGCUCCUUUGUCCUGGGGACUCUCUUCCCCCUACACCCAGAAGACUUUUCUCCCUCUCUUCUCUGAAUGUCCCCUCACUUCACCUGUGAUCUCUGCUUCCUGGGCAACCAUCUCUGGAGUUGACGCUUUGCCCACUCACAUCCCCCGUUUGAUCAGGAGCCUGGGUUGGCCUCCUUGUGCUCACUUUUCACUUUCAGAUCAUUGCUCCUCCUCUCUUGGGAGCACCUGGAAAACCCAGAUCCACUCCUAGCAGUGCCUGCCACCCUGGCCUCCCUGCCCAUCUGCCUCAGUUAGGAGCACCUGGACCACUAGCUCUGUAAUGCCUCACCUUCUACCAUCAAGACGUCAAAGUUCAUUCUCCCUCCACCACCCAGUAUGGUCACUUUAGGGUCUUCUACUCCAUCAGCCUGA